rnacentral:rRNA from 1 species
UGGGGAAUAUUGGACAAUGGGCGAAAGCCUGAUCCAGCAAUGCCGCGUGUGUGAAGAAGGCCUUCGGGUUGUAAAGCACUUUAAGUUGGGAAGAAAAGCUUCAGCUAAUACCUGAAGCCUUGACGGUACCGACAGAAUAAGCACCGGCUAACUCUGUGCCAGCAGCCGCGGUAAUACAGAGGGUGCUAGCGUUAAUCGGAUUUACUGGGCGUAAAGCGUGCGUAGGCGGUUUGAUAAGUCGAUUGUGAAAGCCCGGCGCAACCUGGGAAUUGCAGUCGAUACUGUCAGACUCGAGAACGGUAGAGGGAGGCGGAACUCCAGGUGUAGCGGUGAAAUUGCGUAGAUAUCUGGAAGAACACCGAUGGCGAAGGCAACCUCCUGGGCCUGUUUCUGACGCUGAGGCACGAAAGCGUGGGUAGCAAACA